GGCAGCAGUGGGGAAUCUUGCGCAAUGGGCGAAAGCCUGACGCAGCAACGCCGCGUGCGGGAUGAAGGCCUUCGGGCUGUAAACCGCUUUCAGCAGGAACGAAAAUGACGGUACCUGCAGAAGAAGGAGCGGCCAACUACGUGCCAGCAGCCGCGGUGACACGUAGGCUCCAAGCGUUGUCCGGAUUUAUUGGGCGUAAAGAGCUCGUAGGCGGUUGAGUAAGUCGGGUGUGAAAACUCUGGGCUUAACCCGGAGACGCCAUCCGAUACUGCUCUGACUAGAGUUCAGGAGGGGAGUGGGGAAUUCCUAGUGUAGCGGUGAAAUGCGCAGAUAUUAGGAGGAACACCGGUGGCGAAGGCGCCACUCUGGACUGAAACUGACGCUGAGGAGCGAAAGCAUGGGUAGCAAACAGGAUUAGAUACCCUGGUAGUCCAUGCCGUAAACGGUGGGCACUAGGUGUGGGUUCCAACUAACGGGAUCCGCGCCGUCGCUAACGCAUUAAGUGCCCCGCCUGGGGAGUACGGUCGCAAGACUAAAACUCAAAGGAAUUGACGG
rnacentral:rRNA from 1 species